UUCUUCUCGGAGUAGAUGUUCUCCCUUGAAACAUUAUGGAACAAAUAAAAUUAAUUACAAAUUAAAAAAAAAGAAAAACAAAGAGCAACAAUCAAAUUGUUCCUUUUCCCUCCAAUUCACUUGAACGAAUGAAUAAUUUUCUCUUUCUUUUAGUCACAUGUUUUUCUUUCUUUUCCAAUGUUCUUUUUUUUUUUUUCUAUUGUGAACUUGAUUUCUUAAUAUUUAAUAAUUUCUUUUUCUUUUUUUCGAUUAUCUGAUUAAGCUCAGCAAUUAGAUAAUCUUUAAGAAUAUCUUGUAAUCCUUCGGGAAUCUAAUUAAUCGUUUUUCUAUCCUUUAGGUUCAAUUCAAGGUUUUCUUUUACCUUUUUAAUUCUUACUCGGCGAUUUUCAAUUUCUAUUUGUAAUGUUAAUCAAUUUUUAGGUUUUUUUCUCUUUUUCAAAGUUGUAAAGAAAAACUAAUUUAUUAAUUGUUCUAUUCUCUAUUCUCAGAAUUAUCUCCAAUCAAUAGGAGGAAAUCCAACAAGUUACCAUCAGAUGGAUUAAUCUUAAUCUGCCAUUAGGAUUCCAACUGUGAAGAUCAAGCUCUUAGCCUUGGUAAGCGAGUUAACUAGUUAUUUGCUUGUGGCUUUUUCGUAUUCAUUUUCUGGGCAAAAGAGUUGGAAGAUAAAACGAAAUGAUAUUCAACAUCACUGGUAACCGAAGGCUACAGAUUUAAAACGGUAUUUCCAAAUUUCGUACAAGUAAAUUAUCAAAAUGGAUCUUUUUCUUUUUCAUCAUCGUUUUCUUAAUCUCUCUCUCUCGCUCUCAUGUAAUACUUUUAUCCUUGUCAAGAAUUAUGUUAACAGAAGAUGUUAAUCUAUCGAAAGAAAAGCCUUUUGGAUAUAAACCCGUGGAAUCGAAAGGCUGAAACUGUUCAACGGCGAUGAAAACGAUGGGUGUGAAUCGACAGUGAAAAUCAUGUUGAUUAGCUAAUGUUUGAUUGAUAGAUUUGAAAGAAUCUCGAUCUUUUCUUUGAUCUAACCUUGUACAAUUUAAUAUACUGGAAGCCUUGAGAGAUUCAAAGAAUUGGGAUCAUUUGGGCCAAUAUAAUAUUAAUCUUUCUCGCAUGGAUUUAGUUGAUCCUCAAGGUAUUCAGCAUCUCAAUUUAUGAUCUCCUGGAUCAGCUGUCAUAUUCAAUAAUAUAUAUUUACAACUAAUAUUGAUGGAAACCAUUGAUUAAAUGAGAUCACUGAUAAGUUUUUCUUGGUCAAUGUUAACAAAGUAAACUUACCAUGUCAGAGGAAAAUGCAUGUUCUUCAAUCAUAAUCUUGUAUCUUUGAGCUGAUGGCCGAUAAAAUGUUGAUAACAUUAGAUGGAGAUUAACAGUUAAUCCAUUCAUGAUGGCCACUUCUCCGGGUAGAGC